UGGCUCUCGCAUCGAUGAAGAACGCAGCGAAAUGCGAUAAGUAAUGUGAAUUGCAGAAUUCAGUGAAUCAUCGAAUCUUUGAACGCACCUUGCACCCUUUGGUAUUCCGAAGGGUACACCCGUUUGAGUGUCAUUGUAAUCUCACUGCCUACGACUUUUUGUCGUUGGUAUGUGGACCUGGAUGUUGCCGUUGGUUUUUGACGGCUCGUCUGAAAUGCCUGAGUGUACCCCGCUUUGCGGCGUAUUCGGUGUGAUAAUAUUGUCACCGGAGUUGAUCCUUUUGGGUCGCGUCUGCACGAGUGUGGCUCUAUGCUUUCGAACCGUCCCAUGACCGGGACAAUCUUCUUGACAAUUUGACCUCAAAUCGGGUGGGACUACCCGCUGA
rnacentral:misc_RNA from 1 species